AUUCGUUUAACUAUGGCGAUAGGAAGUAUUUUAUUCUUAACUGCAUAAAAUAGUUAUUUAAUUUUGUGAUUUAUAUUUUAUUACAUGUUAUUAGCAGUUAGUUUUUUAUUAGAAUAGGUGUUUUUUAAGAGGUUUAAAAUUUUGGAGGGGAUAGGACACAGUGCCAGCAUCCGCGGUUAAUCUGUUUUCUUUGCUUUUUUAUAAACUGUGAUUGCGUAUUUAUAUUUAAAGUUAAGUGAAAUUUUUUUGAUUUUAUAUUUUGUGCGUAUCAAGUAAAUUGUAUUGUAUGUGACAGGGAUUAGAUACCCCAUUAAUAUAAUAUUUUAUUUUGUUUUAGUUUCAUAACUAAAAUAGUUUGGCAGCAAGUAACUCUUUUCAGGGGAAUGUGUAUAGUAAAGGACGAUCCGCCUAUUAAUUUACUUAUAUUAUGUUGGUGUAUAUCUGGUUUGAUAUUAUUGCUUUAGUAGCUGAAUUUGUGUAUAAUAACUAUUUAAGCCAAGUCUAUGUGCUGCUUGUAUAAGUUUUUAUGCGUUACAUUAAUAAAGGUUAAUUUUGUUAUAGAUUUUUAUUUAGGACUUGAUAGUAAUAUAAAUUUAUUUUGUUUAUGUGAAGAAGGUUUAGCUUGGGUACACACCGCCCGUCACCCUCGAUAAUUGUUGAGGUAAGUCGUAACAUGGUAACUCUAAAUGAAUUUGGGGUUAAUUGUCA
rnacentral:ncRNA from 1 species